rnacentral:rRNA from 1 species
ACCCGUACCGCAAACCGACACAGGUAGUCGAGGCGAGUAGCCUCAGGUGAGCGAGAGAACUCUCGUUAAGGAACUCGGCAAAAUGACCCCGUAACUUCGGGAGAAGGGGUGCUCUACAUUUGUAGAGCCGCAGUGAAUAGGCCCAAGCGACUGUUUAUCAAAAACACAGCUCUCUGCUAAAUCGUAAGAUGAUGUAUAGGGGGCGACGCCUGCCCGGUGCUGGAAGGUUAAGAGGAGUGCUUAGCGUAAGCGAAGGUAUGAAUUGAAGCCCCAGUAAACGGCGGCCGUAACAAUAACGGUCCUAAGGUAGCGAAAUUCCUUGUCGGGUAAGUUCCGACCCGCACGAAAGGCGUAACGAUUUGGGCACUGUCUCAACGAGAGACUCGGUGAAAUUUUAGUACCUGUGAAGAUGCAGGUUACCCGCGACAGGACGGAAAGACCCCAUGGAGCUUUACUGCAAGUUGAUAUUGAGUAUCUGUUGCACAUGUACAGGAUAGGUAGGAGCCAUUGAUCUGAGGACGCUAGUUUUCAGUGAGGCGAUGUUGGGAUACUACCCUUGUGUCAUGGCUACUCUAACCCGCAUGCCUAAUCGGCAUGGGAGACAGUGUCUGCUGGGCAGUUUGACUGGGGCGGUCGCCUCCUAAAGAGUAACGGAGGCGCUCAAAGUUUCCCUCAGCAUGGUUGGAAAUCAUGCGUAGAGUGUAAAGGUAUAAGGGAGAUUGACUGCGAGACUUACAAGUCGAGCAGGUACGAAAGUAGGACUUAGUGAUCCGGUGGUACCGCAUGGAAGGGCCAUCGCUCAACGGAUAAAAGCUACCCUGGGGAUAACAGGCUUAUCUCCCCCAAGAGUUCACAUCGACGGGGAGGUUUGGCACCUCGAUGUCGGCUCGUCGCAUCCUGGGGCUGUAGUCGGUCCCAAGGGUUGGGCUGUUCGCCCAUUAAAGCGGCACGCGAGCUGGGUUCAGAACGUCGUGAGACAGUUCGGUCCCUAUCCGUCGCGGGCGUAGGAAAUUUGAGAGGAUCUGCCCUUAGUACGAGAGGACCGGGGUGGACUUACCGCUGGUGUACCAGUUGUCUUGCCAAAGGCAUCGCUGGGUAGCUAUGUAGGGAACGGAUAAACGCUGAAAGCAUCUAAGUGUGAAACCAACCUCAAGAUGAGAUUUCCCAUUCUUUAUGAAUUAAGAGCCCUGAGAGAUGAUCAGGUAGAUAGGCUA